rnacentral:rRNA from 1 species
GGCGUAAGCGCGCGCAGGUGGUUUCUUAAGUCUGAUGUGAAAGCCCACGGCUCAACCGUGGAGGGUCAUUGGAAACUGGGAGACUUGAGUGCAGAAGAGGAAAGUGGAAUUCCAUGUGUAGCGGUGAAAUGCGUAGAGAUAUGGAGGAACACCAGUGGCGAAGGCGACUUUCUGGUCUGUAACUGACACUGAGGCGCGAAAGCGUGGGGAGCAAACAGGAUUAUAUACCCUGGUAGUCCA